rnacentral:rRNA from 1 species
UAGCAUAUCAAUAAGCGGAGGAAAAGAAACCAACAGGGAUUGCCUUAGUAACGGCGAGUGAAGCGGCAACAGCUCAAAUUUGAAAUCUGGCCCUUGGGUCCGAAUUGUAAUUUGUAGAGGAUGAUUUUGGUGCGGUAUCUUCCGAGUUCCUUGGAACAGGACGCCUUAGAGGGUGAGAGCCCCGUACGGUUGAAUGCCUAGCCUCUGUAAAUCUCCUUCGACGAGUCGAGUAGUUUGGGAAUGCUGCUCUAAAUGGGAGGUAAAUUUCUUCUAAAGCUAAAUAUUGGCCAGAGACCGAUAGCGCACAAGUAGAGUGAUCGAAAGAUGAAAAGCACUUUGAAAAGAGGGUUAAAUAGCACGUGAAAUUGUUGAAAGGGAAGGAUUUGUGACCAGACUUUUUCUGGGCGGAUCAUCCGGGGUUCUCUCCGGUGCACUUCGCCCAGUAAAGGCCAGCAUCGGUUUUCGGCGUGGGAUAAAAGCAGUAGGAAUGUGGCUCUCUACGGGGAGUGUUAUAGCCUAUUGUAUAAUACCGCGCUGGGGACCGAGGUUCGCGCUUCUGCAAGGAUGCUGGCGUAAUGGUUAUCAAUCACCCGUCUUGAAACACGGACCAAGGAGUCGAACAUUUGUGCAAGUGUUUGGGUGUUAAACCCUCACGCGUAAUGAAAGUGAACGGAGGUGAGAGCCCUUACGGGUGCAUCAUCGACCGAUCCUGAAGUUUUCGGAUGGAUUUGAGUAAGAGCAUAACUGUUCGGACCCGAAAGAUGGUGAACUAUGCGUGGAUAGGGUGAAGCCAGAGGAAACUCUGGUGGAGGCUCGCAGCGGUUCUGACGUGCAAAUCGAUCGUCAAAUCUGCGCAUGGGGGCGAAAGACUAAUCGAACCAUCUAGUAGCUGGUUACCGCCGAG